rnacentral:rRNA from 1 species
AAAGGGUCCGUAGGCGGUUUGAUAAGUCAGUGGUGAAAGCCCAUCGCUCAACGAUGGAACGGCCAUUGAUACUGUCAGACUUGAAUUACUAGGAAGUAACUAGAAUAUGUAGUGUAGCGGUGAAAUGCUUAGAUAUUACAUGGAAUACCAAUUGCGAAGGCAGGUUACUACUAGUGGAUUGACGCUGAUGGACGAAAGCGUGGGGAGCGAACAGGAUUAGAUACCCUUGU